UUAAGUUGAGUCUUGAGCCUGAGUCACUUGAGUGUCAAAAAUGUUUAUGAAAAGUAAAGAAAUUGAAUCUUGUACAUUGUGCAUUAUUUUAUGAAAUGCAAAUAUUUAAAUAAUUUAUAAAGAAAAUAUAUGUAUUUUUUAAUUAGUUUUAAUUCGGAUAGAUAACUUUACUAUACUUCAAAAGGUAACGUGAAUCAAGAUGAAUAUGAACAUGCUGAACAAUUCAACUAUGCUGAUGAACAUAAUGCCGGAGGUUGAACAAAUUAUCAGCCAAUUGGAGAGAGGCACUCUUGUCACUAGGUACUAUCCAAGGAAACGGCCGGAGAAAAAAACGCUCAUGAUUCGUCGGGAAACGCGACAGAUAUUAUGGGCUCGAACUCCAAACACUAAAACUUUUGAAGGAGCAGUGGAAAUGCGAGAAGUAAAAGAAAUAAGACUGGGAAAAUGCUCAAAAGACUUUGAAAAAUGGCCUGAAGAAAUUAAAAGAAUUGAACAAAUGCGUUGUUUUAUAGUGUUUUAUGGAUCAGAAUUCAAACUCAAGUCGUUGUCUAUAGUGGCCUUUUCUGAGAAGGAAUGCGAACUGUGGGUUAGAGGCUUAAGACAUCUGGUACCUGAUACAAUUAACGCAUCCUAUCCUCUUCAAGUAGAAAGAUGGCUGAGAAAGGAAUUCUAUGCCAUGGAAAACUCCAAAGAAAUCGUAACAUUGAAAGAUCUCAAAGGAUUUCUGCCUCGAAUCAACUGUAAAUUGUCAACAAAUAAACUGAGAGAAUUAUUCCAAGAAGUGGAUACCAGAAAACGGAAUGAAUUAGGAUUUGAUGAUUUUGCGGAACUGUACCAUAGGCUUAUGUUUGACGAAGGGACAUUCAGAGAAAGUGUGGAGGACUACUGUGAGAAUGGGCAGAAUGGCAUUGUUAGCGUUCAACAGCUGACCAACUUUCUGAUCAAAGAGCAGGGUGAAAAGAGAGUUGAAGAAAAGCAAGUGUCCAGUCAUAUGAGGGAUUAUCUUCAAGAUCCUCAGCGCAAUGUUGAGGAACCAUUCUUCACUGCCAGAGAGUUCAUGGAUUUUCUAUUCUCAAAACAAAAUGAAUUAUGGGACAAGGCUUUCGAUAAUAUUUAUCAAGAUAUGUCUCGACCUCUAUCUCAUUAUUGGAUCGCUUCAUCCCACAAUACGUACCUGACGGGCGACCAGUUCUCGUCUGAGUCGUCAGUGGAGGCGUAUGUGCGCUGCCUGCGCAUGGGCUGUCGCUGCAUAGAGCUGGACUGCUGGGAUGGGCCCGACGGCAAGCCGAUCAUCUAUCACGGGCACACACUCACCACACGCAUCAAGUUCCUCGACGUGGUCAAGAUUAUCAAGGAGCACGCGUUUGUCGUUUCCGAUUUUCCAGUGAUCCUGUCGAUCGAGGACAACUGUUCGCUGCCGCAACAGCGCAACAUGGCGGUGACAAUGCAGGAGGUGUUUGGUGACAUGCUGCUGGUGCAGCCCGUUGCCAAGCACGAGACGCGGCUGCCGUCGCCCUACAGUCUGCGCCACAAGAUCAUUCUCAAGCACAAGAAGUUGCCAGAGGGUGGAGACGAGGCUUCGGUCAUGAUGAAGCCCGAACAAGGUAAAGAAAUGGACCUGCGAAAUACGGUGAAGAAUGGCAUAUUGUACCUGGAAGAUCCAGUCGAUAAAAAAUGGAAUCCUCACUUCUUUUUCUUGACUCACCACAAACUAUUCUACACGGAUAGUUUCGAAGGUGGACCUGACGCUGAUGAAGGCGAGGAUGAUGAGGCUGAACCUCAAACUUUCCUCAAACUCAAAGAGGGUGUUCCGAACGAUGAGCUGCACUUUGGCGAGAAAUGGUUCCACGGGAAGCUGUUGGGCGGUCGCGCCGAAGCCGAGGAUUUACUGAGAAGAUACUCGCACCUCGGUGAUGGCACUUUCCUUGUCAGAGAGAGUGAGACGUUUGUCGGUGACUACUCGCUCUCGUUCUGGAGACAAGGAAAAGUGAACCACUGUCGGAUCAGGUCGAAACAGGAUAAAGGCCAAAUCAAGUUUUUCCUCAUUGAUAAGAACUGCUUCGAUAGCUUAUACAGUCUGAUCACACAUUACAGAAAUCAUUCCCUCAGAAGUCAGGAGUUCCUGAUAACACUGCAAGAGCCGGUUCCCCAACCGAACAAGCACGAAGGUCAGCCGUGGUACUACCCUCAGGCCUCGCGCAGCUACGCUGAAGAACUACUCAAGAGGGUGCCACUCGAUGGAGCUUUCCUCGUGCGUCCAAGUCUCAAGGACAACAAUACUUUCGCCAUAUCGUUCAGGGCUGAACGAAGAAUGAUAAAGCACUGUUGCAUAAAACGGGAAGGACGGUUGUACACGAUUGGCACAAUGCAAUUCGAAAGUCUAGUCGAGUUGAUCAACUACUAUGAACGCCACUACUUGUACAGAAAAGUCAAGCUACGCAUUCCUAUCACUGAGGAACUCCUAAACAGUACUCCUAUGGAUAGCAUGGAUGAUGGACUGGCUUCAGCCACACCUGGCUACAUUGAUCCGAGCAGUUUCACUUCUAAGAUCACAGUGAAGGCGAUUUUUGACUACCAGGCGAAACAGGACGAUGAGCUGUCGUUCUGCAAGCACGCCAUCAUUACCAACGUCAACAAACAAGAUGGCGGUUGGUGGCGCGGUGACUAUGGCGGCAAAAGACAGCACUGGUUUCCUUCGUCCUAUGUGGAGGACGUGGAACCCCAGCAAGAGAGAGAUGAUAGUUCAGGUGACUCGAUGCUACUGGGCAGUCUUCAGAAGGGCAGCCUCGACGUGAUGGGUGCUGUCGUGGAGAUAGUGGAGGUGUCGGGGGGUGCGGUGACCGGCCUCGAGUGGGUGCUGCGCAUCCAGAACCCCAACCGCUGCACCAGCUUCGAGGUGGCAUGCCAGUCACGUGACCAGGCUCUCGAGUGGAUGGCCGCCAUCGAGAGGACUGCACAGUCGGCUAGUUUCCGGGAGAACCAGAAUAGAGAAAUGGAAAAAACGUGGAGAGUCGCCAAAGAAAUAUCGUCUCUUAUCAUCUAUUGUAGAUCGGUAGCUUUCAAUAUGGAGAGGAUCAAGAAGAAAGGCUUCAUCUACAAUGAAAUGUCUUCGUUUCCUGAGACCAAGGCUGAGAAAAUCAUGUGCCAGCAAGAGAGCAAGUUCUUCUACAAGUAUCACCAGCACCAGCUGAGCCGAGUGUACCCGAAAGGGCAACGCAUAGACUCAUCCAACUACAAUCCAGUUCCAGUGUGGAAUGCAGGCUGUCAAAUGGUCGCUCUCAACUAUCAGACUGCUGACAAGCCGAUGCAGAUCAACCAGUGCAAGUUCCGGCUGAACGGAGGCUGUGGCUACCUGCUGCGGCCCGACGCCAUGUUUGGCGCCGAUUGCGACGCGCCGCAAGCCGCCGCCACGGAGUCAAUCGCGAUUGCGCUGCGCGUGAUCGGCGCGCGCCAUCUGCUGCGUUCGGGGCGCGGCACUGCCAGUCCGUUUGUCGAGAUCGAAGUGUUGGGCGCAGAUUGUGAUCACGGCGUCAAACUUACUACCAAGACUGUUGCUGACAACGGUUUGAAUCCGGUUUGGAACGAUUUCUGUGACUUCGAUGUCCACAAGCCGGAGUUGGCGAUGCUGCGUUUCGUGGUGCAAGAUGAAGAUAUGUUUGGCGACAAGAAUUUCAUUGGACAGGCAACCUACCCGAUUGUGGCGUUAAGAACCGGAUAUAGGAGUGUUCCUCUAAAGAACGGAUUCUCCGAAGAUAUAGAACUAUCUACUCUUUUGGUGCACCUUAGAAUCAGGACUCUAUCUGCGUAAGGUAUCAGUUGAAAUCUAUCAUAUUUUGGACAUCUGUAAGAGAAAUUCAGCGCUGCAGUCAGGUUUUGCAUCUACGGAGAGGAGAAAUGAGAAGUCGUUGAGAAGCAACAGUACUAGCAGCACAGUAACGUUGGGAAGUAACAGUAGCAGCAACAGAACACAUCUGCAAACAGUCUCACUGUCAUCGCUCUCAUCUGAUCAUUCGGAAUUCACCUUUGCCGACAGUUCGUGCUGACAUUAGUUCCAAAUAAUAUUGUUUUCCAACUACAGUAAAAUAUUACAAAGUUCUAAUUGAACGAUUUUGACUUGAUAAGUGUUGUACAAGACUGAACGUUUUCAGUUGCUGUCUCCAUUAUUUGCAUUUUGUCAUUAUUAUUAUCAUUCAUAGUUGUUGAGAAUGAUAUUGUAUCUAUCUAUCUAUGUUCACCAAAACUGCACAAUAUUCCCCUUCCAAAAAUAAUAGGUGAUUGUUUAGUAUUAAAUGAAAUUUAUUUUGCAAGCAUUUUAGAUAUAGUAUUGAGUGACGGCUCAUAACAUUGUAUGUUUAUUUUUAUGAAUUAGAAUUCGAUUUUUAAUGAAGAAAUUGUCGGUAGGUUUUGGAACGAUUCUGGUACUAGAAGAUGAGUUUAUUGAUUUAUUUGUAGGUUUGAGAACGAAUCUGGUACUAGAUGAAAAGUUUUAUUGAUUUAUUGGUAAGUUUGGGAACGAUUCUGGUACUAGAAGAUAAGUGUUAUUGAUUUAUUGGUAGGUUUGAGAACGAUUCUGGUACUAGUUGAAAAGUUUUAUUGAUUUAUUGGUAUGUUUGAGAACGAUUCUGGUUCUAGAAGAUUUGAUUUAUUGCUA
rnacentral:misc_RNA from 1 species